AACGCUAGCUACAGGCUUAACACAUGCAAGUCGAGGGGCAGCAUGGGCGGAGCUUGCUCCGCCUGAUGGCGACCGGCGCACGGGUGCGUAACGCGUGUCCAAUCUGCCCAUCGCCCGGGGACAGCCCUCUGAAAGGAGGAUUAAUACCCGAUGGCACACGCAGGCCGCAUGGCCGGCGUGUUAAAGAUUCAUCGGCGAUGGAUGAGGACGCGUACCAUUAGGUAGUUGGUGGGGCAACGGCCCACCAAGCCUUCGAUGGUUAGGGGUUCUGAGGGGAAGGUCCCCCACACUGGAACUGAGACACGGUCCAGACUCCUACGGGAGGCAGCAGUGAGGAAUAUUGGUCAAUGGGCGAGAGCCUGAACCAGCCAAGUAGCGUGAAGGAUGACUGCCCUAUGGGUUGUAAACUUCUUUUGUUCGGGAAUAAAAGACGCCACGUGUGGCGUUUUGUAUGUACCGUUUGAAUAAGCAUCGGCUAAUUCCGUGCCAGCAGCCGCGGUAAUACGGAAGAUGCGAGCGUUAUCCGGAUUUAUUGGGUUUAAAGGGAGCGUAGGCGGGCUUUUAAGUCAGCGGUCAAAGUGCGUGGCUCAACCACGUACCGCCGUUGAUACUGGAGGCCUUGAGUGCGCACAAGGUGGAUGGAAUUCGUGGUGUAGCGGUGAAAUGCUUAGAUAUCACGAAGAACUCCGAUUG
rnacentral:rRNA from 1 species